GCCCACGACGGAAUCGCACCCAGAACGUGCCCGAUGUCAUCGGAGCUCGGAAGCUCAGCAGGGCUAAGCCUGGUUGGUAAUUGGAUGGGUGAUCGGCGUGCGUAAUCGGGGUGCCGUAGGAC
rnacentral:rRNA from 1 species